rnacentral:rRNA from 1 species
UUUUGGACAAUGGGCGCAAGCCUGAUCCAGCAAUGCCGCGUGAGUGAAGAAGGCCUUCGGGUUGUAAAGCUCUUUUGUCAGGGAAGAAACGGUGAGCUCUAAUACAGUUUGCUAAUGACGGUACCUGAAGAAUAAGCACCGGCUAACUACGUGCCAGCAGCCGCGGUAAUACGUAGGGUGCAAGCGUUAAUCGGAAUUACUGGGCGUAAAGCGUGCGCAGGCGGUUAUGUAAGUCAGAUGUGAAAUCCCCGGGCUCAACCUGGGAAUGGCAUUUGAGACUGCAUGGCUAGAGUGUGUCAGAGGGGGGUAGAAUUCCACGUGUAGCAGUGAAAUGCGUAGAGAUGUGGAGGAAUACCGAUGGCGAAGGCAGCCCCCUGGGAUAAUACUGACGCUCAUCACGAAA